GGGCAGGGUGAAACUGGAAGGCCCAGCUCUGAGCAGGAGUCUGAAAGGCAGGCUUCUGAGCCUGCCAGCAGCAGCCAAGGGAAAGCCACCCUCAGAGAUUCCUAGCUGGGACAGAGGAGAGGCAGCGGAUAGUCCAAAUGCUACACCAGUCCUUCACAGCCCUCCCAGGCCUCAGAGAAAUGCAGUUCCCGGGAACUUCAAGCCCCAUUGCCCACCCACUGAGUGGAGAGCAACACAGACAAAUAUCCCCUCAGUGCAGGGACCGGCUCUACCAGCUGGGGGACAGUCAUAGGCUCAAAAGCCAGUGAGUGACCUGGGGCUGCACCAAUUCCUGGGUCCGGAAUUACUCUGGAUGCUGUAUCCAGGAAAACCAUCCGAACAGAUGCCGAGCCACAACUUGCGCCCAAGUUGCGGUGAAGGUGGUUCCUUAGACCGGUGGAACCUGUGGGUGGCUUGAAACCUUGGUGUGAACAGCGUCCUUUGCUUAAAUCUGGAGGCUUCCUACGUCCGGGGAUGCUAGAUGGACCGUGACACACACACACCUGCCCUUUUCACCAUCCCUGUGCUGAUUAGGGACCUUAUUCCAGACCUCCUGCCCUCAUAGCACAAGCAUUAGCGCCUCACACAUUUAUCGAGUGCCUGCCUGUUGUUGCAUGUGCAAAUCAAACACCGUAAAUAUAUGACAUGUGGCGGCUCGAGGCGAGGAAGGAUUGUGGCCACUCACGUGGUUUCUCCAGCCCGCUAUGACUUUCCCAACUAAGUUCGACGCCUAGAACCUGCUGUCCAGGAACUGAGACCUCCGGCGGCCACGUGGGCCACGGAAUUCUCUCUUGGGGUCUUUAGGCAGCUGCUCAGUCUGGGAAGUUGCAUCCGGAGCUCAUUGACUCAGAUGCUAGUUAGGACCGCGUCUUCAGUGUUAUCUCCUUGGCACCCAGGGUCGAAUCCACGGCGACCGGUCACUGUUUCUGUAAGACAGUAGGCCCUUUGGACAGCCAUGCAGUAAACUGAAGGCGGCACACCUCCGCCCCAAGCACGUUUCGGUGUUGGAGUCAAUGUAGACCUAUUCCACCUCUUGGGAAAGCAGUUAAAACAACAGUGGGUAAUUUGUGAAGGAGGACACUGGCCGCCUCUCCGACUCCGGGCCCCACAGGACCCCUGGCAGCCGCGCAAAGCCGGCCGGAAGACAGCCGCACCGCCCCUCCCGGUCCAGGCCCAGCCUGCCUGGCGGAGGAUCAAAGAGACCCGGCCUUGCUUCUCAGCGCUCAGAUCCUAUCAGCGCCCUGCCAGCGGGGCUUCUGGGUCCUCCAGCUCCCAGCUUGGAUGCCCGUUUCACCUUCUUCUCAGCGAUGGGGGACUUGGCCAUUAAUGCUCAGCUUGGCAAUAGAGAUGCGGUGCAGACCCCGCCCUUGGCCCCUCUAAAGUCCUUCUUCCGCAGGUGCCAGUUUGCUGCUGAUUUUGACCCCAUCUUCUCUAGAUUGGGGGGGGGGCAGGGCAGGGCAGGGGCUCCAAUGGAAAGCUAUAGGAGAGGAAGGGCCCUGGAGCGAGGCCUCCCCCUACGACCUCAGCUCCGAGCACCUCUUGGGGUGAGCACCUCUCUGAGAAAGUUGCACAGAAAUUGAGAUCAUCCUAAGCCAAAGCGCAGCGGGUCCUCCUGUGUUUAUAAACGACUCCAACUUUGGCAAAGUCGCUUCCAUGAUGGUUGGCAGACCAUGAAGUUUCAACUGACACAGGCCGUUGGGGGUCGAAUUUCUGAAGAAAAGUCAGGGCAGGGGAGGUGUGAUUCCCCCCUCCAGGGUAAUUUUUUUUUUCCCAGCUUGGUAUUGCCCUUUUAUCAAAGAACAAGCCUUUCUUUUCGCUUUAUUGGUGCAGAAGUAGCCUAUCCUCAAAUGAUAGUGAAAAUGAGGAUAUAUAUAUAUACCUUUAUUUGGCAAGAGAAAAUAUAUUUUUUUCCUGAUUUGUUCGCUCUCCCACCCUCCAGUUUCUUUAGAUGACUUUAUAGAGCUGUGAAAUCCCCACCCCCACCCCGUCCUGGGAACCACUGCCCUGGGGCGUCCUGGCUCCAAGUCUCACCCCGUGGGGAUGAGCGGUGAGGGGGAGGAGAGAAGGGAGAACAGGAGCUUGAGGAAGAGGAGGGCGGGGGUGGGGUGGGGUGGGGUAGAUGGGGUAGAUGGGGAGUCUGCCUCCACAUCCACACCGAGCUUAGUAGAAAGGCUCGCUGAGUAGCAGCUGAUGUAAACUCACACAAGAUGGUAGACAGGAAGGAGCCCAGGCACAAGAGGUCGAGAGCCCCGGAGUGGUCAGCGUGGUCCGCGAGGCUUAGGGUUGGGGGUGGGAUUCAUCUGGUGUGGAAAGCCCCCAGGGUUUGGAGAGCUAACCCAGCCUGGGCUACACAGUGAGAUUCUAGCUGAAGAAAAAUAAAAAUAAAUAAAUAGAUCUAUAAAUGAAGGCGCUGGUAUCUCCCAGCAGAAGCCUAGACAGCACCAGUUCUGUGACCAUCACUGGACCGAUGACCUCAUAUACUAGGUGAUUACAUCAUGCCAGCACCCAUAGGAGCUUCAUACACAUCAUUGCAUUUAAUCGUUACUAAACUCUGAGAUAUGGGAACAAUUGUCCCCAUUUUACUAAUGAGGUAACUGAAGCUCAGAGAGGUUGUGUGAGUCACCCAAGGUGUCACAGCUUCAAAAUGAGGGUGCUGAGCUGAGUCCAGCUCCUGGUGGUCAGUCCCCAGACCCACACUCACAUCCCAGUCAGAUCCCUGAGAGGCUUCCCCCACCCACAUCAAGGCAGGGUCUCUCUGUGCGGCUGACUCUCCUGGAGUUCGUUUUUCUGUAGACCGUGUUAGCCUCACCCUCAGAUCCGCCUACCUCUGCUUCCUGAGUGCUGGAAUGGGACUUAUUUGCUGUGUGACAUAUGCAGACAAAUUACUAAGGAACCAGCUAUCACUAAUAAAAAUUACUAAACC
rnacentral:lncRNA from 1 species